UACGAAGGGGGCUAGCGUUGCUCGGAAUCACUGGGCGUAAAGGGCGCGUAGGCGGCCGAUCAAGUCGGGGGUGAAAGCCUGUGGCUCAACCACAGAAUUGCCUUCGAUACUGUUUGGCUUGAGACCGGAAGAGGUUAGUGGAACUGCGAGUGUAGAGGUGAAAUUCGUAGAUAUUCGCAAGAACACCAGUGGCGAAGGCGGCGACCUGGACGGACAUUGACGCUGAGACGCGAAAGCGUGGGGAGCAAACAGG
rnacentral:rRNA from 1 species